rnacentral:rRNA from 1 species
AUCUGGGCGGCGGAAUUCAGGAUGGCGGUGCGCGUGUACGCGCGUUUCCGCCGUUUGAUAUUUCCGUCGCCGCGUACAGACGUCGCGACCUGUUCGUCACCGGUCCCUGUUCGAAGGAGUCGCGUUCGAGCUCGUUGUGGGUGCGCGUUUCGCGCGUGUACCGCACGGCGAAGGCGCGAUCUUCUGGCCGGCGACGGACAGUACGUAGAACGGUGUCCGAUGUCGUCUGUCUUGUACAAACGCGCGCAUCGGUACCGGUCGGCGACGAGUUCUUCGGGCCUCUUUCCGACCCGUCUUGAAACACGGACCAAGGAGUCUAACAUGCGCGCGAGUCGCGGGGUGUCGAACGUACUACGGUGCGUUCGUUACGUUGCGAAACCCGUACCAUGUAGAAGGCGUAAUGAAAGUGAAUGGGGAAGAUGGUGUUUCGAGUUCACGUUCCGCGAUCGUCGGUAUCGCGGCCGGACACCCGCACUCCCGGGGCGUCUCAACGGCCCGUCGCGAAUGCGGACAGUCGGCUCUCGGGUCGGCUGUCGGUUCGCGACGAACCGAGGCGCACCUAUAGCGUGCACGUUGGUACCC